UACAGAGGGGGCAAGCGUUGUUCGGAAUUACUGGGCGUAAAGGGCGCGUAGGCGGCCUGUUAAGUCGAACGUGAAAUCCCUGGGCUCAACCCAGGAACUGCGUCCGAUACUGGCAGGCUUGAAUUCGGGAGAGGGAUGCGGAAUUCCAGGUGUAGCGGUGAAAUGCGUAGAUAUCUGGAGGAACACCGGUGGCGAAGGCGGCAUCCUGGACCGAUAUUGACGCUGAGGCGCGAAAGCCAGGGGAGCGAACGGG
rnacentral:rRNA from 1 species